rnacentral:rRNA from 1 species
CGGGGGGGGCAAGCGUUGUUCGGAAUUACUGGGCGUAAAGGGCUCGUAGGCGGCUGGCUAAGUCGGAUGUGAAAUCCCCAGGCUUAACUUGGGAACUGCAUCCGAUACUGGCUGGCUUGAAUCCGGGAGAGGGAUGCAGAAUUCCAGGUGUAGCGGUGAAAUGCGUAGAUAUCUGGAGGAAUACCGGUGGCGAAGGCGGUAUCCUGGACCGGCAUUGACGCUGAUGAGCGAAAGCCAGGGGAGCAAACGGGAUUAGAUACCCCGGUAGUCCUGGCCCUAAACGAUGAUGCUUGGUGUGACGGGUAUCGAUCCCUGUCGUGCCGAAGCUAACGCAUUAAGCAUUCCGCCUGGGGAUACGGUCGCAAGGCUG